rnacentral:rRNA from 1 species
GACGAACGCUGGCGGCGUGCUUAACACAUGCAAGUCGAACGGAAAGGCCCUGCUUUUGUGGGGUGCUCGAGUGGCGAACGGGUGAGUAACACGUGAGUAACCUGCCCUUGACUUUGGGAUAACUUCAGGAAACUGGGGCUAAUACCGGAUAGGAGCUCCUGCUGCAUGGUGGGGGUUGGAAAGUUUCGGCGGUUGGGGAUGGACUCGCGGCUUAUCAGCUUGUUGGUGGGGUAGUGGCUUACCAAGGCUUUGACGGGUAGCCGGCCUGAGAGGGUGACCGGCCACAUUGGGACUGAGAUACGGCCCAGGCUCCUACGGGAGGCAGCAGUGGGGAAUAUUGCACAAUGGGCGGAAGCCUGAUGCAGCAACGCCGCGUGCGGGAUGACGGCCUUCGGGUUGUAAACCGCUUUCGCCUGUUACGAAGCGUGAGUGACGGUAAUGGGUAAAGAAGCACCGGCUAACUACGUG